AAGGCUCCAUCGGACUCUAUAUUAAGAGGCUAAACUCUCUCAUAUCUCCACUCGCAAACCGCGCACUCUCUCUCUCUCUCGCUCUGGCCUGUUCCUUGAUCUUCCACUUUGUUGUUUUGGGGAUCCCUUCAAGCUUUUCCACCGUGCUAUUUUCCACUUGGGUGUGCCUGAUCUCUUCCUUUUCCUUAGUGGUUGACAUGGGAUUUUUAUACUAAGAAAACACACAGUAGCUCUCCCUCCCUCCCUCCCUCCCUCUCUCUCUCUCUCUCUCUAUCUCGACAAGGGUUUCGGACCUUUUUCUUAAUGCCCUUUGAUUUCUUCGCUUUACCUUAUCCUUUAUCUCCAUGGGAUGCUAAAAGUUGGGUAAGUAUAGAUUCUAGGGUUAGGGUUUUUAUCUCACCUGCAUGUGGAUUGGUGAUGACAAAUUGCCCCUAUACGAAGAAGCCCAAGUCGUUGUUUGCCAUUGCAGCAUCAUGAAGAUUCACAAAAAAAACUUUCUUUUUUGAAGAGAGCGUCUUUUUUAAUAAUUACUGGUGGUUGAGUUUAUGUGGUCCCUAAUUCCACCUUAAAAGCGUCUCUCUUCAAUAUGAUUUUAUUAUGGGAAUCUUGAUGAUGCUGCAGUGGCAAUAAAUGGCUAUUCACUCUCGAAAGCCAGAAGUCUGAGAUCAAAUUUAUGAGGAUGAAGCUUUAUUUAGGUAUUAGCAUCACUAAAUGGUAUCUUUCUCAAGAGCGGAGCCCAAGCCGCCGAGUUAUUUUUCUUAUGUCACCGGACUAACCUCACUGCUCGUGCUGAUUGGUCACAUCUUAACACAGAACGACAACAUUUGGCCAAGAAGAGGUACAACGACAGAUUUCAGGGAAGUUUUGAUUUUGAACACCUGAAAAAUGCCUAUCCUCCUUUACAUACUUAUAUAGUGGAAGGAUGGUUCCUCUAAAUUUAUUGAGAGGAUCAUUACCCUAAGCUAGGAAUCCAUCUAGUGCUCUGUCUUCCUCGGUAUGAUGGGAUCUGCAAGAUGCACAAGUCAAAUAUAGGAAAGGACUACAUGAUUCCAUCAGAGCAGUUCUUCUUUCCCAAAUUUCCCCGUCUUUAGAAAUCUGAGUAUCUGGGUUUGUAGUGGUUCUAUGGAGGAUUGGAUAUCUGGCCUUGAUUUCUACAAAGUGGAUCUUUUUCAUUCACAUCUCCAUAAUCAAUCCUUGAAGACCCCUUUCGUGACUUUUUUUUGCUGAUUUCCUUUUGAUCUGACCCCCUUAUAUACAGUGAGGCUAGGUUGUCAAUACUUACUAAUCUGUGACUAUGAGGGGGAACAAAAGAGCAAUCUGUCUUGUAUAAAGAAAACUUACGUUAGAAUCUAUACAGAAAGACUUUUGUAGCAA